rnacentral:rRNA from 1 species
GACGAACGCUGGCGGCGUGCUUAACACAUGCAAGUCGAACGGUAAGGCCCUGCUUUUGUGGUGUGCUCGAGUUGCGAACGGGUGAGUAACACGUGAGUAACCUGCCCUUUACUUGGGGAUAACUUCAGGAAACUGUGGCUAAUACCGGAUAGUAGCUCCUGCUGCAUGGUGGGUGUUUGAAAGUUUCGGCGGUUGGGGAUGGACUUGCGGCUUAUCAGCUUGUGGGUGUGGUAGUGGCUUACCAAGGCUUUGACGGGUAGCCGGACUGAGAGGGUGACCGGCCACAUUGGGACUGGGGAAGGGGCCAGACUGCUACGGCAGGCAGGGGUGGGGAAUAUAGCAAGAUGGGCGGAAGGAUGAUGCAGCAACGCCGCGUGCGGGAGGACGGUCUUAGGGUUGUAACGCGUGUUAGACUGUAAAGAAGAGUGAGUGACGGUAAUGUGUAAAGAAGCACCGGCUAACUACGUG